GCGGCGGCAGCGGCGGGCGCGAGCGGCAGCUGUCAGGCCACCGAGGUCCAAGCCGCACUUGCUGCCCCAUUGAGGACGAGGAGGCAGCAGGAGCAGUGACGGUGACUCUAAGGAGCCGGAUUCCCGGCACGCAGAGCUGACCUGCCUGGCACCCGCGGCCCUCUCCUGUUUCCUUCCCAUUGUGUUGGAGAAAUGUUAUGAGAAUGACUUGGAUGAGCUGAAAAAUGAAUGAUCUCCUUGAACAAGGCUUGCCUGGAAUUUCGCUUUGCUGCAGAGACAUCUGGAAAUGUGGAUUGAGGGUGGAAAUAAAAUGAAGAUGUCCUGGAAACUUCCAACUGAUCCUUGGGUCUAAUUGGUGUGGGAUAUGCAGCACAAGCGUGAGAAGCCAUGAAGUGAGAGCCCCAACAGGGGCUCAGAGUCAAAAACCUAGAUAUUAGCUCCCAAAGUCCUUCCGAAUCUGCUCCAGCUCCCCACAUCACUCCUAGCUGCCCUUGGCCCUCUCCACCUUUCCCCUCCCGAUUCCUUGGAAAAUAAGCGUUCCUCCCCCACCCCC
rnacentral:lncRNA from 1 species